GACUUUUUUGGAUUUAUAACUUUUAUUUUUACUGAGGUUUUUUCUACAGGAUAUGUAACAGUUAAAGUAAUGAAAAAAUAAUAAGCCCAAAAUAGCUCAUCUUCUCCUGAACGACAUUUCAAUCCUAUAAAGACUAACCUGAAACCGGUUUAGCAAAUAUUAUAGAACCAGGUAACGUGAAAGUACAACAGUACAUAUCCUAGUUGUUUAGUUAGUUACAUUAAAAGUGCUAUAUAAAGAAGGAUAUUACCUUGUUGGGAGCAACUUUUCGGACAUAAUAAAAGUCAACUUCUUCAGGAGAAAAACGAUACCCCAACGAAGCGUAUAUCCGCUAAAAAAACUUGGUUAGUAAAUUUUCAUUUAAAGUAAGCAUUUCAUACAUUUAUAAGAUCUUCCUCAGGAUCGGGAAAUCUACAAAAGCAGUGAACAUGAACUUUUGGAAGAGAGCGGUCUUUAAACAAGUACUCCAAUCCAUAAUAACAACCUUUGAAAGCAUCUAAAAAUUCAAUCGCUGAUCCGGGUAAAUUCAUUACAUAGUGUGAAAAUACAGGAGGGAUGGGAAUAUCCUGUCUCACAGGAUCUUUAUUUUCUUCCAAUUUACGUGCUCGCUUUCUCGGAGGAAAGACUGUAAUGGCUUUUUCAUCUUUAGAGAAUCCUAAUAGUUUCUGAACAGAGGAACGAAUAAAUUCUCUACCAUCUUGAUUGAAUGCUUUUACAAAAUUCGCAACCUUAAUAGCUAGUUAGCAUUAUCUCACAAGCUUUUGACCAAGCUGAAGUUUAUACCUUGUUUAGAAAAAUGUUCUCAACUAAACUUUCAUAGCUGUAAGGAUUCAAAUCGUUUGCAAACACGAUUACAUUUUUUUUUCCAGCCGGACAGGCAAAUGGGCCAACUCCUGCCAUUACGUCGCAAACAGCAUCUCCAGGUUGAAAUUGCUGUAUCAAACGGUCAUGUUCAGUGCUAAGGCGUGAAUUCCAAUAUACUUUGGAGAAGUCAAAUCGAAAUUUGCAGUUUGAUUCAGACUAAAAUAAAUUCAUCAGUAAAGCAAAUCUUAAUUGCUGAAAGUUGACCAAUAGCCAUACCUGAGUAACUAUAAAAUCAUCCUUUCCGGCCAAUACUUCCAUUUGAAAGGUACGAAAUUUGGUAUCGAUAGUGUCAGUUUUGUUAACAACGGUUUCAAUAGAAGGAUUCUUGUCUAAAAUAACUUUUCCAAUGAUAUAUUUAUAAGGAAGCCAUUCCUCACGUAAGUUCAUAUGUGCUAUAUGUCCAACAGCGGUGAAGCCAGAAGGAUGAUCCUCUUUCUCGCCGGGAGGUAAAAUAGCAUCCAGUAUAUCAUCUAAGUAAAAGUUGUUAGUAGAAGCUACAACAAAUAAAUCUCGAAAAGAAGAGACGACGACGCUAUAUGUGUUUAUUGCAAUUUACGAUUCAAAUAAUCCUACCUGCUCUCCAAUAGUCAUAGUCCAAAGUCAACUGAAAAGGAACUAACUCUAUAUUAUUUUCUUUAAUAAAAGAUACGGUAGCAUCCGAUAAACCCCGAGUACCUUGAAAUUAGCAUACAGUUAUAAAUAAAAAAUCUUGUC
rnacentral:lncRNA from 1 species